AGUUAUUCGUAGGGUGGCACUGUGGUCGUGAAACUGAUACGUGCUUAAUAGUUUACCAUCUCGUUCGCCAAAACAAAUUUUCGAGGUAUUCGUAUUUAACUUUACUAAUAUGUGUGAUUAUUAGUUUUUCUUUUUGUGUAUCCGGUAACUUUUCUAUCAGAAAUCCCCAAUCAAAAUAAUAUGACUUUUUCGUUGCAUUUUGGAUCAAGAUGGUGCAUUGAGGCAGGAACAGAUACAGGGGGGACUAGGUGCUGAGCCCCUAGUCCUCGAGAUCAUUUUUGAUUCUUCAAGCGGUUUUCAUUAAUAGUUGGGAAAAAACAAUAAAAAAAAAAAAAACCUACAAAUUCACGAACGAUUUACAAACGUAUUAAAAAGUUUUUCGAUUUUCGUUUUUUACCAGAAAACUUGCUCCGAAAUUCAUGAGUAGGUAAAAUCUUUUCUGGCAUAGAAACAUAUAUAGUUGAUAUGAGUAAGAUUUAUGUUUUUUUGAUUUUCUUUGUAGUUAUCCAAAUAAUUUGCCAAAUUGUUUUAUACGCUACCAGGAGCGUGUAAAUAUGAUGCGGUGUUUCACACAAUUCGUUUCUGCAACGACAGUGCAAACAGAUCGGAUAAAAGUAAAUCCGGGUAAUAAUUUUACACAGUUUCGACAACGGUAUGGACUUGUAUUAUAAGUCGAUAUCCAGUUCCAAUCGGUAAAUCGUGUGUAAAUAUUUUAUUUUUUAAUUUCGAUUAAUUAAUAUAUUUAAAUCAUAUUUCUUUCCAUGCGUCUCUCGUUAAGUCCCUGUCUUUGUAAAUGUUUAAAGUCUUAUCCCAAACUAUUGGCC